CGUUAUAGCUCAGUUGGUUAGAGCGAACGACUCAUAAUCGUUAGGUCCCUGGUUCAAAUCCAGGUAACGCCACCACACUG
rnacentral:tRNA from 1 species